UCGAACGGUUGGUAGCAAUACCAAUAGUGGCGCACGGGUGCGUAACGCGUAACCAACCUACCCGAAUCUGGGGGAUAGCCCGCCGAAAGGCGGAUUAAUACCGCAUAAAACUGCAGCCUGGCAUCAGGUAACAGUUAAAGAUUUAUUGGAUUCGGAUGGGGUUGCGUGCCAUUAGCUAGUUGGCGGGGUAACGGCCCACCAAGGCGACGAUGGCUAGGGGAGCUGAGAGGCUGGUCCCCCACACGGGCACUGAGAUACGGGCCCGACUCCUACGGGAGGCAGCAGUAGGGAAUAUUGGGCAAUGGACGAGAGUCUGACCCAGCCAUGCCGCGUGCAGGAUGAAGGCUUUCUGAGUCGUAAACUGCUUUUACCAGGGAAGAAAAAAGGGGAUGCGUCCUCUACUGACGGUACCUGGUGAAUAAGCACCGGCUAACUCCGUGCCAGCAGCCGCGGUAAUACGGAGGGUGCAAGCGUUGUCCGGAUUUAUUGGGUUUAAAGGGUGCGUAGGCGGCUGAUUAAGUCUGGGGUGAAAGCCCGUUGCUCAACAACGGAACUGCCCUGGAAACUGGUUAGCUUGAGUACAGACGAGGGUGGCGGAAUGGAUACUGUAGCGGUGAAAUGCUUAGAUAGUAUCCAGAACCCCGAUUGCGAAGGCAGCUGCCUAGACUGUAACUGACGCUGAGGCACGAAAGCGUGGGGGGCGAACAGG
rnacentral:rRNA from 1 species